AAAAAAAAAAAAAAAAUCUA
rnacentral:miRNA from 1 species